AGCGGCAGACGGAGCCCACAUCGUGGUUACCCUGUAGGCACCGUGGGACCAGGAGCUUGGCGUUGGGCACCGCAGGAGGCGCGUCACACUCCAGCUUGCAGUAGGCUUCGGGGAGCGACCAGAGACCGUCCUCCAGGCAGCUCAACUUCAGUCUCCCUGGGUGCUUUCUGCAGCUUGUCCAACACCUGCCCUUACAAGCUGUCUCGCCACGUGUACAGCACAAGAUGGGAAGUGCCAGCAGGACAGAUGCAGGAGCCCUACCUCGUGUAACUGGGAAUUCUGACCUCAGAGUUGACAGGGAACUGGGCAUCACUUUCUUUUUAUAGGAUCACCGCUCUGCCUACAGCUGCUCUUGGACAAGGGCAAGACCGUGGCUCCGCUCAGUGCUUGUGUUCCCGACGGGCCGGUGCUCCCAGCGGCAAGGCGAAUGGCUUGUCCCCACCUCCAAGUGCCGUGGCAGGAGCCAUGCAAUCCCUUCCCUUCCUGUUCUAAGCAUUUAUUAGCACUGAGAGGCUGCCCAUAAGGACACCAGCCUUUGGGGAGUACAAGCAGCAGACACGUUCCUGCCUCGACAGCUCGGCAGCUGGACCUCUGCGAGUCUACCCGCGCGCCUCGACAGCCUUGGCUGAGCACCACCAGGACUUGUGUCAGCUGCUGGAAGCCACCCAGGGCACUCCACGGAUGGGAUGCCUCCCGCCAAGGGAGCCCGUGGCAAACCUCCCGUUGACUUCAACGGGAACAAGAGGAGGCUGUUAGGGAAAUAUCAGCUUCAAGCCCUGCCCUCAGUUGACCCACCGAAGGCAAUGGCAUGGGUUUGUGCAGAAUUUGGUCUGUCGAGUUGUCGUUCAUGCGCUACCCUUUGAUCAGCUCACGCUGGGAUCUGCCGGCAUCCCUCCUGUCAUGAAAUGAGACCUUAAUUCCCUGCAGUUUUUGCUCCGUAGAUUUAACUAAAAAAACAGUAAGUGAUUCUCAUACGUUUCAGCUAUAAAUGUCGCCAUAAAAUAGGGCACCCAUUAAAAUGAUUUGUUGUAUGUGAUUGUUCGGAGCAAAGGCGCUGGUGGAAACUCACAUAAAGUCCCAAUGCUUGAAGCUGUCAAGGCAAUUACCCACGAAACCCCAUCCAGCUCAGCCUUGUAUAGACAGGAACAGUAGCUCUCUUUCUCCGACUUGGCUUAAAAACAUUCCUGUGGGUAUUGAUGGAGUCGGCAGAAUGAAAGCCAGGCCAUGGCGUGUCUGGAGGACUGCUGUGUGUCUGGGUGGUGCACAUCUCUGAGACUGCUCUGCAGCUGUGGGCAUCAGUCUCUACGGCUUUAUAGUGCCCCAGGCUUCCUGAACCAUAUGCUUUCCCACAGCCACCAGCCCAUUUUUGGCUCUCUGAAGUCCUCCCUGUUUGUCUGCACUGGAUCCCUACGCUCUUCUGGCCUCCCUCAUCCCCCAUAAUGCUGGAGCCUGCCAGACCUCACCAGCUCUCAGAAGAAGACAUCCCAACACCCGGAUGGGAGUGGAUAUGGGUCGCCAGCCAGGGGGUGAGCAUCAGAGGGAGCUGUAGCUCCCCACACCGUGGUGUCCCUGCUCAAGAGGGAUGGUUGCCCACCAUGUAGGGAGGUCUCCCAAGAGCUCACCUGGUUGGCAGAGGCGAGGACACCCAGGACAUUCAAAGUAGCAAUGGUCACUUCGAAAUACCUAGGGACACGCACGGAGAGGUGGCACCAAAAAGGGAGUGUUAAAUCCCCUGGCACUCCAGACCAUACCUUGAAGCUUGGCCGGGUGGACGCAGGAGAAGGAGCAUCGCUUCAGGUAGGUGGUCCCUUUGGGGCAGGAGAACUUGGCGUAGUAGACAUGCGACUGGUCAGGGACACCGCAGUCAACAGGGUCACAAGUCACAGAUCGGUCCCAACGCCCUGAGCUGCACGUCAGAACCACGUCCUGCUGCGGAGAAAGUGAGGCUCCAACAGACCCCCAAAACCCAGCUCUAACAGCACGUUUUAGUACCGCAGCCAAACGGGCUGGCUCAGGUUUCAGGGACUUUGUGUGGCACAGUGUGGCAUUCCCUGGGGUUCAAGGCAUGAUGCUGGGGGUAUGAAAGCAGCGACUGGUCCCUGGGAUGACACACAAGUCACUCUAGAGGCUGUCUGCAACUGCUUGCCUCCAAGUGUGACAUUGUCUAAGUGGUGCUAGAGCACAGUAAGGGCCAAAAGAUAUCCCUGCAAAAUACACAAAAAUUUCCUGAACUACAAGUUAUUCCCAGCUCUGUGCACUGCUGCUUUCUCCCCUGCAAGACUGAGUCUUAACACAGCUGCUGAUGUACACCUCUCCUGUUGACUGGUUUUCCCCAAAUAUCCUGUUCCUGUCAUGCCCAUGGAGCCCACUGAAAACCGAGGUUUGUCUACCAGCAUUUAUAAGUUGUAAUUAUGAAUCUGGGGGACUGCAUGAGAACCUGAGUCCUAACUACCAGGGGUGCCAGGCCUAAAUGUGGUCAGUAUGUGCCACAGCCCAGGGACAGGAGAAGCACAGGACACGCUGUGCCCAUGACCCGGCCAAGGCGACUCAGCUCCCAAGGACCUGUCAACCCUGAGUCUCCUCAGUCACGGGCUGAGAGUGGAGCUGGCUUGUGGCUUUUACAAGGCAGCCCCUGACCCUCUGGAGAGGUGGACGAGCUCUUUCGUGCUGAUCUCUGCGCUGCCCCAGAGGCUGGGCAGCAGGAUAGCAGCACAGCACAAAGGAAGAAAAGCUCCUGGAGGCUGCUCUCCUCUGCAGCCCUCUAAAUAUAGUUGUUCUGCAAGGACAUCUUUUUUUUUUUUUUUUUUUUCCCCGAGCCACUAACUUCAACUUUAAAAGAGAAAUCCCCUGGGAUGCUUAGCCCUCCCAGCAGUGCCCAUCCAGAGAAGAGAAACGCCGACCUCUCCCUCUGGGAGUGCACCACCCCAGCCUGGGAUGUCCCCUGCGGUGGCAUUUAGCCUGGCAGAGCUGUGGCAGCACGGGGCUUGGGGCCUGGGGGGAUGGCAGCAGAGGAAGGAGAGGGUCCGGAGCAGCUCCACCAGCACUGAGGUCCAGUGCCAGGGCUGUCAUCAGCCUGAGGUUCAUUGAAAAAGCCUGGGUUUGGAAGGACAACGUGUCCUGGGGCCACACCAACCACCCUUGGCUGCUUAAGUCUUUCUCAACCAGCCCAG